UACGAAGGGUGCAAACGUUGCUCGGAAUUAUUGGGCGUAAAGAGCUCGUAGGCGGUUUGUCGCGUCUGCCGUGAAAGUCCGGGGCUCAACUCCGGAUCUGCGGUGGGUACGGGCAGACUAGAGUGCAGUAGGGGAGACUGGAAUUCCUGGUGUAGCGGUGAAAUGCGCAGAUAUCAGGAGGAACACCGAUGGCGAAGGCAGGUCUCUGGGCUGUAACUGACGCUGAGGAGCGAAAGCAUGGGGAGCGAACAGG
rnacentral:rRNA from 1 species